rnacentral:rRNA from 1 species
AACGCGAAGAACCUUACCUGGGUUAAAUCCACCGGAAUCUUCUAGAGAUAGAGGAGUGCCCUUCGGGGAACCGGUGAGAAGGUGCUGCAUGGCUGUCGUCAGCUCGUGUCGUGAGAUGUUGGGUUAAGUCCCGCAACGAGCGCAACCCUCGUCGUCAGUUGCCAGCGGUUCGGCCGGGCACUCAGACGAGACUGCCGACGUGAAGUCGGAGGAAGGUGGGGAUGACGUCAAGUCCUCAUGGCCCUUAUGCCCAGGGCUACACACGUGCUACAAUGGCCGGUACAAAGGGUCGCCAACUCGCAAGAGCCAGCCAAUCCCAAAAAACCGGUCUCAGUUCGGAUUGGAGUCUGCAACUCGACUCCAUGAAGUUGGAAUCGCUAGUAAUCGCGGAUCAGCACGCCGCGGUGAAUACGUUCCCGGGCCUUGUACACACCGUAGUAC